GACGAAGGAUGCAAGCGUUAUCCGGAUUCAUUGGGCUUAAAGGGAGCGUAGGUGGCCUUAUAAGUCAGUGGUGAAAUCUCUGGGCUUAACCCAGAAAUUGCCAUUGAUACUGUAGGGCUUGAGUACAGUUGCUGUGGGCGGAAUAUGACAUGUAGUGGUGAAAUACAUAGAGAUGUCAUAGAACACCGAUUGCGAAGGCAGCUCACAAAACUGUAACUGACACUGAGGCUCGAAAGUGCGGGGAGCAAACAGG
rnacentral:rRNA from 1 species